rnacentral:rRNA from 1 species
UGGGGAAUAUUGGACAAUGGGCGAAAGCCUGAUCCAGCCAUGCCGCGUGUGUGAAGAAGGCCUUUUGGUUGUAAAGCACUUUAAGUGGGGAGGAAAAGCUUGUGGUUAAUGCCCAUAAGCCCUGACGUUACCCACAGAAUAAGCACCGGCUAACUCUGUGCCAGCAGCCGCGGUAAUACAGAGGGUGCAAGCGUUAAUCGGAAUUACUGGGCGUAAAGCGCGCGUAGGUGGUUAUUUAAGUCAGAUGUGAAAGCCCCGGGCUUAACCUGGGAACUGCAUCUGAUACUGGAUAACUAGAGUAGGUGGGAGGGGAGUAGAAUUCCAGGUGUAGCGGUGAAAUGCGUAGAGAUCUGGAGGAAUACCGAUGGCGAAGGCAGCUCCCUGGCAUCAUACUGACACUGAGGUGCGAAAGCGUGGGUAGCAAACAGGAUUAGAUACCCUGGUAGUCCACGCCGUAAACGAUGUCUACCAGUCGUUGGGUCUUUUAAAGACUUAGUGACGCAGUUAACGCAAUAAGUAGACCGCCUGGGGAGUACGGCCGCAAGGUUA